rnacentral:ncRNA from 1 species
AAAUUGGCGAAGAAGAGGAUUAGUACAGACAGGAAGAUGCACAGAGAGGAAAUCAAUGGUGAGAGAUUUCUCAUACGAAUAUCUGGAACCUGCCUUGGAGCUGCGUAUGAAAGUACGACGUGCAGCCGCGUUAAGGCGAUUGAGAGAAUGAAGCAAUGGUUCAUUAAUCAGGGUGGUACCGCCGGAUAUCCGGUCCCUUGU